ACGACCAUUAUUCUAAAAAACAGAGAGAAAAGAAAACCAAAAACCAUUUCUUGGCUGGUUUGAAGAAAUUCUAAGGAGAUCCAAGUGAAAUCAAAGCCAAAGAAGUGGAUUAAGCUUAGUUCUAGCCUUUUUAUGAUAUUUAUUGGUGGUUUCCAAGUGGUUUGAGGUUUAGAAAAGCUUGAAGAGAUUGUUUUCGCCGAAAAGUUGCUCGGAUAAGCAUAUCAACACCUAAGACAUCACUUGUUACACGGUGAAAUAUAUUUGGGACAAAAGGUAGAGAAAAAAAUGUGUGAAUGACAUGAGGAGAACUGAAGCAUGGUCCUGACCCUGAUUUGUACAUAUGAACAUAUCGACCUUUUGUGGGUUAUUUCAGUUAUCAGUGAGAUGUUUGUAAUAAAGUGUGAAGUUAUGUUUUGAAAAUAAAUUGGGUUAUUUAAUACUUA